GGCUCAUUAAAUCACACCUAAUCUACCGGAAAGUAACCAGUUACUUGGAUAACUGCGGUAAUUCUGGAGCUAAUACAUGCAACAAGCCCCGACUCACGGAGGGGCGCUUUUAUUAGAUCAAAACCAAACGGCUUCGGCUGUCUCUUGGUGACUCUGAAUAACUUUGGGCUGAUCGCAUGGCCUUGCGCCGGCGACAUUUCCGUCGAAGGUGUGCCCUAUCAACUGUCGACUGUGGCAUAGACGCCCACAGUGGUUUUGACGGGUAACGGGGAAUCAGGGUUCGAUUCCGGAGAGGGAGCCUUAAAAACGGCUACCACAUCUAAGGAAGGCAGCAGGCACGCAAAUUACCCAAUGACCGAAGGUCGAGGUAGUGACGAAAAAUAACGAUAGCGGACUCAUCCGAGGCCCGCUAAUUGGAAUGAGUACACUUUAAAACCGUCCCCGAGGAUCUAUUGGAGGGCAAGUCUGGUGCCAGCAGCCGCGGUAAUUCCAGCUCCAAUAGCGUAUAUUAAAGUUGUUGUGGUUAAAAAGCUCGUAGUUGGAUCUCAACAGCGUGGUGGCGGUCGCUUGCCGUUNNACUGCUGUCUUGCGCUGCUUUUGCUGGAGGGUGGCAGGUGCUCUUAAUCGGGUGUCUGUUGUCGCCAGCAGGUUUACUUUGAAAAAAUUAGAGUGCUCAAAGCAGGCUGUUACGCCUGAAUAUUCGUGCAUGGAAUAAUAGAAUAGGACGUCGAUCCUAUUUUGUUGGUUUUCGGGACUCGACGUAAUGAUUAAUAGGGACAGUCGGGGGCAUUUGUAUUCAAACGACAGAGGUGAAAUUCUUGGACCGUUUGAAGACAAACUACUGCGAAAGCAUUUGCCAAGAAUGUUUUCAUUAAUCAAGAACGAAAGUUAGAGGUUCGAAGGCGAUUAGAUACCGCCCUAGUUCUAACCAUAAACGAUGCCAGCUAGCGAUCUGCCGGCGUUUUCAUUGUAGACUCGGCAGGAAGCUUCCGGGAAACCAAAGCAUUUGGGUUCCAGGGGAAGUAUGGUUGCAAAGCUGAAACUUAAAGGAAUUGACGGAAGGGCACCACCAGGAGUGGAGCCUGUGGCUUAAUUUGACUCAACACGGGAAAUCUCACCAGGCCCGGACACUGGAAGGAUUGACAGAUUGAUAGCUCUUUCUUGAUUCGGUGGGUGGUGGUGCAUGGCCGUUCUUAGUUGGUGGAGUGAUUUGUCUGGUUAAUUCCGAUAACGAACGAGACUCUGUCCUGCUAACUAGUCGUGGUGUCUCUUGUGUUGCGCCAAUUCUUCUUAGAGGGACUGGCGACUCUUAGUCGCACGAGAUUGAGCAAUAACAGGUCUGUGAUGCCCUUAGAUGUUCUGGGCCGCACACGCGCUACACUGAAUAGAUCAGCGUGUCUCCCUCCCCGACAGGGGCGGGUAAACCGCUGAACCCUAUUCGUGGUAGGGAUCGGGGCUUGCAAUUGUUCCCCGUGAACCAGGAAUUCCCAGUAGGCGCAAGUCAUAAGCUUGCGUCGAUUACGUCCCUGCCCUUUGUACACACCGCCCGUCGCUACUACCGAUUGAAUGUUUU
rnacentral:rRNA from 1 species